rnacentral:rRNA from 2 species
GCGAGACCACCCGCCGA